rnacentral:pre_miRNA from 1 species
AAUUGGGGUCCUGGGUUCGAAGCUAGCAUCGAGAGAGAGAGCGACGAGGAUUGAUGGAAGUUGAUAAAAUGAGGUAUUUCAUAAUACCUCUCUUUUCAUUUUCAUUUUGGUCCCUUUAUUUCUUUUUCAUUUUCAUUUUGGUCCCUUUAUUUCUUUU